GAGGAGCAUGGAAAUGGUUGCGUACAUGUACCUAGACAUGCAAGAUAUUUUCAUCUAAAACUUCAAAGCCAAAGCCAUCUGGAGGGCUAUAAUCGACAGGAAAUACAUUUGUAAAUAUAUGCAAUUUAACCACCACAGAGUCAAAUUCCCUUCAAAAAAAUCAAAAUUCGAUCCAUUGUGCUAAUGAAUGGAAUAGACAGAACUAAUUGUGGUGUAAGAAGAAUAAGAACCUGUGAAGAUGAACCAAAAGUUCUUGAGCCACACUAUAUAACCUCUAAGCCUUUGCCAGCUUUACACUUUUUCUUAUCUUGGUAAUCGAUUCUUGCAAAAUGCAAAGAAUCGAAGCCAAGCUACAGUUUGCAAUAAAAAAUGUUAUAUUCAUAUGUUUUGCACAGUCGCAUGUUGAUUGUCAAGAAAAAAAAUGUAUUGAGAAUUAAACACAGGAAAAUCACUAAGGCUUAACAUUUGCAUCCACCGUACAAAUAUAAUAUUCAUUUAGUAACUUUAAUUAGUAUAUCAUGUGCCUACAAUGCCAGACUGAAAAAUGAUAAUUAUGAGAAUUGUAUUUUCUGUUUAGAAAAAUGUAGGAGCUUAUCAUACUGGUUUUGGUAAAAAAAUGGCUUCAUCCCAAAUAUGAUGUUAAUAGUAGUUACCUCUGCUCCAAGCAAAUAAGCUUGAACUGCAGAAUGUCCAAAAGGAUCGAUUUGCCAGCCAGCUCUUGGAGUCUUGUUGAAUUGUUUCUUGAUCAUCCGGUGACCAAGCGUGGUCU
rnacentral:lncRNA from 1 species